UGGGCUGCAGCUUACCUCAUUCAGUGGGAUAAAGGUAUUCCGGAAGAAAGGCUGCACAGUGACUGCGAAGUCCUCACGCUCCAUGUACCGGUGCCAAUAGGAGAGCUCGGAGAUGCCGCUCUGAGGAUGGAGAGGCUGCUCAAUCCAACUGGCAAGAACCAACCUCCAGGAAGGCAUUUAUAAAGCCCCAGCUGUACUGCCAGGAGGUGGAGCCCUGGGAUGAAGCACACCCAGUAUUAAAAGUGAGGAGCAGCGCCUUCUCCAGCAUGGAAUUCUUACCCAUCUUCCCAUCAACAGAAGCUGCCCACCCCAUUGCCCAGGGAGCCAAAGAGAAGCCAUAGAUAGAUACCAGGUUGCUGUUCUUGGUAGUGCUCAGAAAUGGCGAGGCCUGUGGGAAGAGGUGAGUGAGCAAUGGAAGGAGUUACACCAGCCUAGACAUGCUCUUCCGCAGCCUCCUCAGGGCCACGACCAGAGCUUAGACCCUUCCAGAAAGGCUGACCACCCUGUGCUCCUGCCCAGGAUGUAUCCGGUCUUCUCUGCAACCUGAACCAAGUCCCAGAACUCAGACUUAACCCUUAAGUAGCUACCAUAUUCUUUCUUGCACUCAGCCUAUUGGCUAAGGAUGUUGGGCCUCUUUUUUCUACCCUACCCCUUCCCAACAGCACCCCUGUCACCCCCAGGUGCCUGCCAUUUGAAACCUACUUUGCCCUAUAGAAACCUGAGUUCCUUUUUACUUAAGCAAGAAAAAGCAGACCCCCCCUCAACCCCCAACUUCUUCUCCAAAUAAGCCCUGGUCCAGUAGUUCCCAGUGAGAAUCCUGAGACCCUUUUGGGGACCCAGAGGAAUUCUGGGUUGCGAGGCUGCAAAACUCUAAAAAUCUGACAUUUUGUGAGUAGAAUUGGGGCCCUACUCUGCUGAUAGUGAAGAUCUGUUUUCCUAGCUCUGACUUCCAUCUUAACAUCCUGCCUGCCUCCACUUUCCAUCCAAGCAUGCAUCACUCUGAUGCUUGGUCUCUUGCUCUUCCCAGCUGGUCAUGAGCCAAGGGCUACAUGGAAACAGGUUAUCCCUGUCUCAUUUGCCCUAGAAAAUCUCCUAUCCUUUCCAUAAGAGCCACCACUUCACUCCUGCCUGUCCAACAGAGGUGUAGCCUGUCUAGACUUGUGUUGAUGUCCUUGCCAUCAGAGGUGAGGAAAACACUAGAGGGUCCACGUCACUGUGG